UCAGUCAGGUUUGGCCCUUGUAAGGAAAAUGUUCGGGCACCAAUCAAUGUGUAGUCUAUCUGAGGAGGUAACUGUUUAGCAUAUGAUAAUGCAUGCUUGUACAAAGUCAGUCCACAUAUUAUAAUGUUUGUCUUCAAUCAAUCAAUUUAAAUAAAAGAGAUGGGGACUUUAUAAUAUAAUAAGGGUCCAUAUAUCACAGUGAUAAAAGACAUACAUGUAUUUUUACUUUAACAUGAACUAAUGCUGAGUUAAGGCAUAUACUAUCAUAAACUAAGAGUCAUCAUUAAGAUGACAUGUUUUUCAUUGUUAGUUAAUGCAUUCAUUUACAAUGAAUUAAUUUGAGUUCAUGUUGUAAUUAAGUAAGUUCAGUAAGUUACAUGUCUUAACUCAGCAUUAGUUUUGUAUUUACUUAUAUUUAAGUAAGAAUUCAUUUAGGUAUAUGUUCAAUGUUUCCAAUGAUGAGCAGUUAAUCCACUAAACCCAAAGAUAAUUCCUGAGGCAUGUUUAAAGAGUUUUGUAUUUCAUCAAAGAUUUUAUAUUUAAGAAAAUCUGAAAUCAUUCAAAAUAACUGUUAACAUGUUUGUCAACUAAACAUGUUUUGUCAACGUUAUAAACUUUAUAGAAAUAUUUUUUAUUAAUGACCAAGUAUAAAGAACCAUGCAUAGUGUGAAAACGCGGAUUAUAUAAAAGUAUAUAAUAAAGUGCGAGCAGAGGAUCAAUCAAACUUGGGCUGGAAUGAUUGUAGUGCAUCCAAUGCACCUUGGAAUUCGUAGUUUACAUCUACAGCAGCAUAUGCUACAGCAGUGACAACGCCAAAGAAAAGGACUACAUUUCCCAGAAUGCACCUGCACCCACUCAUCUGCCCCCACUCUUCAGGUGCGACUGCUUGACCUAUGGGCUUGACGGGAAAAUUCAAAAUCGCGAACCGUUACAGCCUGGACUUCUCGUUCGGUGUAUUUCUUUGUUUGCUUGCACAUCAACAGUAAGAGGUCAUGUACACUGUGGUCAACUUGUGGACGCUGAAGAGGUUUCUGGGUAAAGAUGAUAGAAAUAAUGAAGUAACAGUGGAAGCUAAAACAUCAAACUGAUCCAGACACUGAAGAAAUUGAUGUCACUGCAAUCUGGCCAAAAUGAUACAACUAUAUUGAAGUAGCCUACUGUAAUGAAGCUGCAGAACGUCACAGAGACUCUGAGGACAUCAACACAGAAUAUCAAGGCUCCCAAGAGAUGUCUGUCCAGAUGAGGGUGCAUCAACGUUACCUUUGCUGACAAGUAUAUGCUUUACAAUGUAAAACCUAACAGUUAACUUAACUCAAACCAUUUAAGGAAAUUGGUUGCCUUAAAUCAUUAAGUUUUAAAAAAAACAUACAUUUGAGUACUGUGAACUUAAGUCUUGUGCAAUUAUGCACUUAUAUUUAGGUAGUGUGAACUUAAAUAUAAGUGCUUAACUGCAUGUGACUCAAUUUGUUUAAGUUCACAGUUCUCAAAUCUAUGUGUUUUAAACUUGAAUGGUUUAAUGCAACCGUUUUUCUUAAAUGUGAGAAAUUACAGUGUUACAGUGAGAAAUGUUUGAAUAAUUCCAAGACAGAGCUCUGUGAUUGAUUCUACACUGCAAAAAUCACUUUCUAACACUUUUUAUCUUGUUUUCAGUAGAAAAACUAAAAAUUCUUAAUCAAGAUGUAUUUUCUUGAUGAGCAAAAUUACCUUAGAAAAUAUGUCUAGUUUUUAGACAAAAAUAUACAAUUUAAGAUAAUUUGUGCCUAAACAAGAAAAAAUAUCUAACAAUGGGGUGAGAAAAUUGUGUUUUAAUUAAGUUUUUAAGAAAAAAGAAAACUUAAGAUUUUUUUUCUCACACUAUUGGCAGAUAUUUUUGCUUGUUUUAAGCACAAAUUCACUUAAUACACACACACACACACACACACACACACACACAUUAUUUAUUCGGUCUAAAACUAGACUUAUUUUCUUGGGUCAUUUUGUUCCUCAAGAAAAAGCAUUUUAAUUUAAAUAAUAUUUCUACAGAAAACAAGACAAAAAUACUAUGUAAGAAAGUCAUUUUUGCAGUGUAGGACUGAUUUCUUUAGAUUUAGAUAUUUACUACAUUACAGUGGCAGCUGGUGACUUCUUUUUUUUGUGAGCACUCGAUGCGAAGUUUGUCACAACAUGUAUAUAGCCUGUCAUUUGUGAUGUUCCCAAUUUCAAAAUAUGUGUUCUGUGUGUCGAGUGCGUGUAUGUGCAUCACGUGUUUUGACUAAACACGUGAUGCACGUGGUUUACAUGAAGCAACAAACACAUAUUUUAAAAACACAAGCAACACACAUGACACUCUGAACACUUAUUUUGAAUUUGCAACCCUCGGAUGAGCAGUCACGAGCCGCCACUGCUACAUUACAUUGUACUGCUUUGAAUGUAGUUUUCAUUGUUGCUUUUAUUUUGUUUUAUUUUACUCUAAUAUUGCUUUCUCUGUCUGUAUAUUUAUGAGUUUAAAUGGUAUUGUUUAUGUAUGCAACUUUUAAUAUUUGUGUAUUAUAUUAUUUUGUGAUUGUGACAAUUGUGGAUUGUUCAGUUUUUUAUUAAAUAAACAUUUCAAACUCAA